rnacentral:lncRNA from 1 species
ACGAGGACUAUGCGUCGAGUCAUAUUCACGUCAUCCGCGACGCUAAGAGUUAAGUUUUGCCUGACACCCAUCGACAUAAAUAGGUACACAACCAGUUGAUAUAGAAAAAUAGAAGAUUGAUGUUUGUGUUAAUGAGUUGCAAGAUAUAUGGUAAUUGAGUCAGAUGAACGAGGACUGCUAGCGUCCAUUGAUGACUGCUCCAAGAUACAUUUGAAUUUUGUGCGCCGUUCAUGACAAAAAAAGACAUAAAGUACAAGAGAUAGAAGGAUUUAUGGCGUAAAAUAUACAUGAGAUGUGUUAAGCGCCGCUGCAUAGCGUACAAGGCAAUGCACCCUACGAUGCAAAUGCGAGCGUGGUCGUUCUAAUUGUGCAUCUAUCUAAAAAUGAUCAAAGAUAUUAUCUAUGUUUUUAUUUACUCAUUUGCCGAAUGGACAACGUCAAGAUAUACAUCCAUUAUGACUUGCUGUCAACGGGCUAUCCGCUACCGUUCACAUCAAUAAGUAACCACGAGCAAAUAAGGGUGAAAAAAGGAAAAUGUAUACUUUGGGUCAAUGUGUUACAAGAUGCACAGAUAAAUAGGGGCGGAAAAAAAAGAGAAAAACGUAUCCGCUGGGAUGAUGCAUUACCAGCCGUAGAGAUAAAUAAAUAAAUAAAAAAUAUGCUUUUGGACCACAUGUUACAUGAUGUAGAGUGAAUAAGUCUUCAAUAUGGAUAUAUAAAUGUCAAUAGAUAGAUAGAUAACGAGGACUAAGUGUCGAGUCAUAUUCACUUCACGCACCGCACUAAGAAUUAAGUUUUUCAAGGCAUCCAUCAACAUAAAUAGGAUAACGGCACGUUGAUAUAAAAAAUAGGAGAUUGAUGUGUUGUGUUAAUGAGUUGCAAGUAUAGGGUGAUCGAGUUUGGCGACCAAUGAUCGCUAGCGUCCAUUGAUGAUUGCUCCAAGAUAGAUUUAGCCAUGAGAUAUGAUUUACAGUUGACUUUUGCCGGGCCGUUCAUGACAAAAAAGAAGAAGUAAAUUGCACGAGGUAGAAGGAUUAAUUGAAUAAAUUGCACGAGAUAUGGUUCUUUCCUAUAGAUAGAU